rnacentral:rRNA from 1 species
GUAACAAUGCUUAGUCGAGCGAUGGGAGUUUCCUUCGGAGAACACAGAGACUAGCGGCGGACGGGUGAGUAACACGUGGGCAACCUUACCUUAUAGUGCAAUUCCUC